UCCAUAAAAGACAUUUUGAUUUGAACAUGCAUAUGUGUUUUGAGUGUUAAUAUUAGAGGCUUGUCAAGUCUAUUUGUGUUUGCUUUCUUGAGGACAUUGAGUUGAAAUUGUUUACCAUAGACACAUGAGAGAAAAACUAAUAGUGCAUCUAUGAGGUUCUGUUGCUUUUGAUUCACCUCUUGACCUGAUUGAUCAUUUUUCCAUGUCUUGAAUUGCUUGGAUGACUUCAUGACUAUCUGCUUUCCUUGAUUCUAUGUGGGAUGUUGUCUACUUACUUUCUUUGUCCAGAUUUCUUGAGGACUGUGUAAUCCUGUUUCUUUCCUUGUCAGUCUUUGUUGUUUUCUGUGUGCUGAGUCUGUGUCACUCCCCUGAUGUCCUUUGAUCUAUUCCCUGAUUUGCGUCUUGAUUUUGCCCAAGAGUGCAAAAAACUAAGUGUGGUCUAUUUUGAUGA
rnacentral:lncRNA from 1 species